rnacentral:lncRNA from 1 species
GUUGAAGACCCAUCAGUUCACUGGCGCGCGUUCAUGUGAGAAGGGACCUGUGUUCCAAAAUGUUUUUCAAGACACAGGAACCAUCCGGUUGGAAUAUUACUGAAGUUUCACGUUCUAAAGGCCCUAAAGAUUGAUGCUUUACAACGUUUGACAUGUUUGAACGAACGUAAAUAGAUUUUUUUUUAAACUUUUCUUUUUGGCGUGCUUCCAACAUUUGGAGUAGCUGAACUGAACGUGCGAACAACAAGGAGCUAUUUGGACAUAAAUUAUGGAGUUUAUCGAACAAAACAAGAUUUAUUGUGGACCUGGGAUCCCUGGAAGUGCCUUCUGAUGAAGAUUAUUAAAGAUUAAACUGAAUGCAAAGCUUGGCCUG